UACGUAGGGUGCAAGCGUUGUCCGGAAUUAUUGGGCGUAAAGAGCUCGUAGGCGGUCUGUCACGUCGGCUGUGAAAUCCCGAGGCUCAACCUCGGGUCUGCAGUCGAUACGGGCAAACUAGAGUAUUGCAGGGGAGACUGGAAUUCCUGGUGUAGCGGUGAAAUGCGCAGAUAUCAGGAGGAACACCGGUGGCGAAGGCGGCAUCCUGGACCGGCAUUGACGCUGAGGAGCGAAAGCCAGGGGAGCAAACGGG
rnacentral:rRNA from 1 species